UGAACUUUGCCAACUACGUGGC
rnacentral:siRNA from 1 species